CGAAAACCUUACCCACCUUUGACAUGGCAGGAAUCCCGAAGAGAUUUGGGAGUGCUCGAAAGAGAACCUGCACACAGGUGCUGCAUGGCUGUCGUCAGCUCGUGUCGUGAGAUGUUGGGUUAAGUCCCGCAACGAGCGCAACCCUUGCCAUUAGUUGCUACGAAAGGGCACUCUAAUGGGACUGCCGGUGACAAACCGGAGGAAGUGGGGAUGACGUCAAGUCCUCAUGGCCCUUAUAGGUGGGGCUACACACGUCAUACAAUGGAUGGUACAAAGGGUCGCCAACCCGCGAGGGGGAGCCAAUCCCAUAAAGCCAUUCGUAGUCCGGAUCGCAGUCUGCAACUCGACUGCGUGAAGUCGGAAUCGCUAGUAAUCGUGGAUCAGAAUGUCACGGUGAAUACGUUCCCGGGUCUU
rnacentral:rRNA from 1 species